AAGAAGGAGAGGGAUUACCUCAUUUCCACUGCCUCGGAAAUAAAUCCUCAUUAUGGAUUUGUACCUGGGGAGGAAGAAGCUGAUUUCCACUCCCAGCCAGUUCUGGGCAGAUAUUUGAAGGGCCAGCUCCUGGGAUCACUCACAGCCACAUGCCCAGGAGGGACUGGAUCUCAGUGAGGUGCCAGGUGGUAGAGAAGAGGCAGAUGCUGCUGAAGGACAGCAUUGGUCUGUGACAGAAGGACAACUCACGGCCACCAGCAGAGGGAGAGGAUGGAGGUGCAGCAUCUGCACCUGGUUUUAAGUGGUUUAAUGACAUCACAGCACAAAGGGAAGAGUGUGAGAAAAUGGUGUAAGAGAACAUAUUCUCUCAUGUUAAAUCACCACUCUAGGUCCUGUUGCCAUUGGCAGCCUGAGGGAUAUUUUGCAGAGAUGCUAAAACACAUUGUAAAUUAGGAAAACAAGAGAGAAACCAAACCAAAACACCAUAUUGUGUAAGAUCAUAUCUCUUGAUACCAGAAAAGCUUCUCAGAAUGAACCACCUCAUUCAUGUUUACUCUUGUUUGUUUGGGGUUUUUCAUUUGAAGAAAUGAGAAAGAUCUCAUUUCUGUUUUUCUAUAAAAAUAGCUGUUGUCAUUGAUGUCACCUUUGUAGCCUUGCCUCACUGCCUGCAGAGGUCAGCAGAGCCGGAGCCCCGGAGGAACGUGAGCAGCCCUGCUCCUUCCAAGGCCAGGAAAAGAAGAGAAACAUUUCAUGAUCCUUAAACCUGUUAAAUGUAAAACUUUGAAAGUCUCACUCUGAAAUCUCAGCAGCCCCAGGAAACAGCAGAAGUUCACUGGAGAGCACUCAGGCUCACAAUGAAAGGAAAGAAUUGCAGGUGUUUGCCCUUUUGGAACGGUUAUAGGGGAAUAUGCAAAGAAGGCCUGAAAAAGAGGAGGUGAGUGUUGGCAGCACCAUCACCCAGCUGUGGUGACACGCUGCUGUAGCUGGCUGCAGGAGCCAAGUGCUGCACGGAGCUCAAGCUCCCAAACAGCUCCAACUUCAAAGCCUGAGGCUUCAGGAAGACGGGGCCCCAGGUGACUGCUCAGCACCAUCAUACUUUCAAUCAUUUCUGCUGCUUCUAAUGCAACCGGUCUAAGCUUCCCCAGAAAACCUGUAGGAAAAUGACAGAAGACCAGAUGUGACAUUCCGGACUUUGCAUGUGAAAAGCAAUCGGGGAAAAAAAUAGAAUAAAGCAAAGCACAGAGGGACUCGUGGAUGUAUUUUAUAUGCUGAAAGGAGAAUAGAAAGACACAAAAUCAU